AUGAUCAUGGCUUUUUUCGGCGUUCCUGUCGUGGCGGUCCUGCUUCUUGGCCUGGCCGCGGCGGCGUCGGCACAGCUGUCGGCAACGUUCUACGACGCAUCCUGCCCGAGCGCGCUCGCGACGAUCAAGAGCGGCGUGACGGCGGCGGUGAGCAAGGAGCCCCGCAUGGGGGCCUCCCUGCUGAGGCUUCACUUCCACGACUGUUUCGUCCAAGGAUGCGACGCGUCGGUGCUGCUUGCCGAGACCGCCAACUUCACUGGUGAGCAGACCGCGUUCCCAAGUCCCAACGUCAACUCCAUCAGGGGACUCGACGUCAUCGACGGGAUCAAGGCGCAGGUCGAGGCCGUCUGCGCACAGACCGUCUCCUGUGCCGACAUCCUCGCCGUCGCCGCCCGGGACUCCAUUGUCGCCCUAGGAGGGGCGUCGUAUACGGUUCCGUUGGGGAGAAGGGACUCCAGCAGCGCGAGCCUCUCGGAGGCAAACAGGGACCUCCCUCCGCCAACCUCCGACCUCGCUGAUCUCGUCGGCAACUUCUCUAGGAAAGGGCUCAGCGUAACCGACAUGGUUGCACUGUCAGGAGCCCACACGAUCGGGCAGGCGGCAUGCACCAACUUCAGGAGCCGGAUCUACGGCGAGACCAACAUCAACGCGGCGUACGCGGCGUCGCUGCAGGGUAACUGCCCGCGGUCCGGCGGCGACGGUAACCUCGCACCGCUGGACGUGUCCACCCCAAACGCCUUGGACAACGCCUACUACGGCAACCUGGUCUCACAGCGCGGCCUCCUCCACUCCGACCAGCAGCUCCUCAACGGCGGCCCCACCGACGCUCUCGUUCGCACCUACGCGUCCAGCGCCGCACAGUUCAGCACCGACUUCUCCUUGGGCAUGGUGAACAUGGGCAACAUAGGCGUGCUCACGGGCGCGCAGGGGCAGGUUAGGCUAAACUGUGCCAAGGUGAACUGA
rnacentral:rRNA from 1 species